ensembl:lncRNA
UUUUUUUUGUUUUUUUUUUUUAUUCUUGUUCUUUGCCAAUCAUAGUACAUUGUCUCCAUCCAUUUCUACCCAGGCUGGUAUUACUGACAGGCAGCUGAUUUGGCUGGUACUUGGGUUCUACUGGACUCCCCUUUUGAUAUCUCCUCAUGGAAGUACUGCACCAUAAAUCACCCAGCUAUAGCUUUGUCAGCAUGGUUAUGCUUUCACCAGUGCCACAGAGAGUAAAAAAAAAAAAAAAAACAAACAAAAAAACCCCUAGCCUUCUCUCUUUGUAUAUUUAGAGACUAAGAGAUAUAUGCUCUUCCCUGCUGCAGCUGCUGCCUGCCAAUGCUGUUUUCAAUUGGGCACACAUUAUCCAGGUUUAAUUUAAAUUUUAUAUCCAAAUAGUCUCACCCCAAUAGAAAGCAGACUUGGAAUGUCUAUUUUUGAAGGAAAUCUGCAAUUUGGGAUCUGCAGUCUUAGUGACUCAGUGGGCAUAGGUUUGAUAAAAACUGGAACUUGAAAGAUACACCACAGCCUGAUACAAGGCAAUACGUAUUACAGGUCAGGAUUACAAGGCAACAGAAUUCUAAGUUUUAACUGAAAAGCAUCAAAUGGUGAAAAAUAUGAGGGCUCACACUGACAGAACAGGACUGUGAAUGAGUAGCCACUAUUCAUUCAAAAAAUCACACCUAAAAGACAAAAGUCUCAAGACUGCAAUGAGAUAAUCUAAUGUGAAUACCCUUAAACUGUCCAUGAAACCAUGUGCAUACAAAUGAAAAUCAAGUUGUUGUUGGUUUUUUGUUCUGAAAGAUAUUACAUGAAAGUAACAAUCACCUUUCUCUAUCAAGACUUGAGUUGAAGGGUCUGAAAUUGUCAUCACAGUUAACAGCAGCAGGCACACCACAGCAAAGCCUGAAGAAACAACAUAAAAAUCAGUCAGUGUAGAACUUUGUAAUUUCUGGCAAUAACUGGAAGUCCAGAGGGCAAUAAAACUGAAGGAAGACAGAAGGGAAUUUAUCAGGAAUACCAGAAACCUGGGGUGCAGAGAACCAGGGAAGUGAGCAAGCUGCUUUUCUGAUGAAUGUUGCAUUUUCUGCUGGGAGUCCAUAGGGAUUGCUGCAUUACAUUUGGUAUCUGGGGAGCUUUUGGGAUGCAUCCAAGAAACAGAUCUUCCUUUGUGGCAUGCUCCCAUGAAGGCCCUCAUUUAAAUCCUGGGCAUUGUCAAAAUACUGGUUGAUUUCAGUAUUUUAUCCUCCAUGCCAACCCAAGCAUUUAAAAGUUCCUGCUGUAUAAAUGAGGAAAAAGUACAGGAAGCCAAAAAUAAAGCAGCAUACUGGUACUGUUGUCUUACAAAUACUUGGCAUUAUAUACUCUGCUGUGGUAAAGCCACUGUUUUUCCACUGAACAUUUUAAACCAAGUUUAAAGUAAUAUAAAGAACUAUAGAAAUUACACUGCAUAACCUGAUUAAGCAGCACCAAAAUCAGCCUCCAGCCCAGAAAUUGCCUAUAAACUGAUGGCAAAUGCACAGCUCAGUGCUGGACUUAGAUGAUUUCAGUUGUAUACAUUUUCUUCUGCAAGCUUUGCUCCAUCUUUGGUUUUUGGCUCACAUGUAGUUGCUAUUUCUGUUGUAGAUCAUGGUAAACUUUGCAACAUCAGAAUAUUUCAGAUGUAAAUGGCCGUUUAUUUGGAGAACAGAAAUAUGUUAUAUGGUCCUAAAGGCCCCACAGGCUUCCGAGUAUAAAUGUUUUCUGACUACUGGCUUCUGUUUUCCUGCUAUGAACUGUACUAUGCCUUUACAUAAAGAAACCUUGUUC